UACGUAGGGGGCAAGCGUUGUCCGGAUUUAUUGGGCGUAAAGAGCGUGUAGGCGGUUUGGUAGGUCCGUUGUGAAAACUCGAGGCUCAACCUCGAGACGCCGAUGGAAACCAUCAGACUAGAGUCCGGAAGAGGAGAGUGGAAUUCCUGGUGUAGCGGUGAAAUGCGCAGAUAUCAGGAGGAACACCGAUGGCGAAGGCAGGUCUCUGGGCAUUAACUGACGCUGAGGAGCGAAAGCAUGGGGAGCGAACAGG
rnacentral:rRNA from 1 species